ACCCGAAGGCGCUGUGCUAACCGCAAGGAGGCAGGCGACCACGGUAGGGUCAGCGACUGGGGUGAAGUCGUAACAAGGUAGCCGUAGGGGAACCUGCGGCUGGAUCACCUCCUUUCUAAGG
rnacentral:rRNA from 3 species